ACGGGAGGCAGCAGUGGGGAAUAUUGGGCAAUGGGCGGAAGCCUGACCCAGCAACGCCGCGUGAGGGAAGAAGGUUUUCGGAUUGUAAACCUCUGUCCUUGGUGACGAAGGAAGUGACGGUAGCCAAGGAGGAAGCCCCGGCUAACUACGUGCCAGCAGCCGCGGUAAUACGUAGGGGGCGAGCGUUGUCCGGAAUGACUGGGCGUAAAGGGCGUGUAGGCGGCGCUGUAAGUCCGGAGUGAAAGUCCUGCUUUCAAGGUGGGAAUUGCUUUGGAUACUGUCGGGCUUGAGUGCAGGAGAGGUUAGUGGAAUUCCCAGUGUAGCGGUGAAAUGCGUAGAGAUUGGGAGGAACACCAGUGGCGAAGGCGACUAACUGGACUGUAACUGACGCUGAGGCGCGAAAGUGUGGGGAGCAAACAGGAUUAGAUACCCUGGUA
rnacentral:rRNA from 1 species